rnacentral:lncRNA from 1 species
AAAAAGUUAGGCUUUGAAUGGUGACAAAGGAACGAAAGGGAACACUUAAUUCUUUAUCAUUCUAAAAAAAAAUCACCAUUCACAAGGAAUAGUUUUUCCUUCUUGUUCCUUUCCAUUCCUUUUUUUUGUAGAGAAAUAUAAAACAAAAGCAUUCCUUGUUAAAUUUAAUAAGGAGCAAACAUUCAUUUUUAUUCCUAUACGUUCAUUUUCUAUUCGUUCCUCGUAUUCCCGAAAAGGUCACUAGUCGGUGCCAUAGUACAUCUACAUCAUUUUCUGUACAUUUAUCGUGCCAUGUAUUUGAACGCAAGCAUAUAACUUGUAAGUAAAAAAAAAAACAAUUUAUGAAUUAUCAUAGAUGACUGUCAGUAUUUUUUUUUAUCAAAAAUGACUGUCAUUAUAUAAACUAGUUACAAUGUUUUAAAAUUGUACUACAAUAAUCUGAAAUUAGUUUUGAUUUAUAGUUUUUUUUUUGUUAUAACCCAUAACGUCAAAUAUCGUGCGGUAAUAGCUGAUUUUUUUUUUUGGUAAUAGCUGAGUUUUUUUUUUUUAAGUUUGUUAAAUAACAUAUAAGACUUAUAAAUCAACACCUCCAGUUUAUAUUACUCAAAUGUGCUAUAUAUGUCAAUGAGGAUGAACAGAGAGAAGCUAAUGGGAUGUAUUCAAUUUUGAGUGUGAAAUGAUUUGAUUUUUAGCGAGUUUUUAGAUGAUUUUAUAAAAGUUGGAGUGUUCAAAAUAGUUUUUGUUAAACCAUUCUAGAAUUUGACCUAAAACCAUGAUAUUUAGAUUUUAGUUUUUUU